rnacentral:rRNA from 1 species
GAUGAACGCUGGCGGCGUGCCUAAUACAUGCAAGUCGAACGAGGUGCUUUUGUAGUAAUACGAAGGUAUCCUAGUGGCGAACGGGUGAGUAACGCGUUGGUGACCUACCCCAAAGUGUGGGAUAACAGAUCGAAAGAUCUGCUAAUACCGCAUGUGGUUAUCGGAUUCAGAAACUGAUAACUAAAGCAGCAAUGCGCUUUGGGAGGGGCCUGCGUCCCAUCAGCUAGUUGGUGAGGUAAUGGCUCACCAAGGCUACGACGGGUAGGGGACAUGAGAGGGUGGCCCCCAACAAUGGAACUGAAACACGGUCCAUACACCUACGGGUGGCAGCAGUAGGGAAUAUUGCUCAAUGGGCGAAAGCCUGAAGCAGCAACGCCGCGUGUGCGAUGAAGGCCUUCGGGUCGUAAAGCACUUUUCUGAGGAUGAGAAAGGACAGUACCUCAGGAAUAAGUCUCGGCUAACUACGUGCCAGCCGCCGCGGUAAAAC